CACGGCUCUCUGCGUGGUGGUGUCCGGGGACUGCGAUUCCUUCAGCAGCUGCAGGAUCUGCUGGAGCCCCUGCUCGUCGGGCUUCCACUCGUACUCCAUCUUGGCUGCCUGGAAAACAGUAGACAACAGGCGGCCGCGACAUCGUGUUUGUAAGCAUCCUGCUUGUCUAACGGAAAACUAGAAACGGAAACUCACUUAGCACAACACUGGGUAUGAGUGCUGCUGGCACACAGCAUAGUGGUAACUGCCCAGAGGCACAGAGGAUGGAAUAUUUCUGACUGCUGCAUACCCCAGGACCUGCUUCCUUCCCUCCAGACAGAAAUUCAGAAUCAGUGUUAAAAUGUAGUCACAGGAAUGAAAGUUAUCCAUCAAAACAUAUGAUGGCCUACUUCAUCCCACUCAAUCAGUGGAAAGCACCAGAAAUAAACUUGAAACACCACAUCUACAUACAUUAACAAGACAGAAGCUCACCAAAG